UUACGGCCAUAUCACGUUGAAACACCGUUUCUUGUAUGAUCAUCGAAGUUAAGCAACGUCAAACCUGGUCAGUACCUAGAUGGGUGACCGCCUGGAAAUACCAGGCGCUAU